UGAAGAGUCAAUACUGCAAACUGGAAACGCUGAGACUGAGUGGCUGUAACCUGUCAGAGAGAAGCUGUGAAGCUCUGUCCUCAGUGCUGAGCUCCCAGUCCUCUAGUCUGAGAGAGUUGGACCUGGGUGGUAACAACCUGCAGGAUUCAGGACUGAAGCUUCUAUUUUCUGCAGUGGAGAGUCCAAAGUGUACAAUUCUCAGGGUGGAGCCUGCUGGAGUCCGAUGGUUGAGACCAGGUCUGAGGAA